UCAGGAAUGCAGGGCUCACCAACUUAUCCAGGAGACUAUGACUUGAGAUAUAUAUGACCCCACAGCCAUCAGGUUAUUUCUCAGAGACCAUGUCUUCAAUUUCAUCUGCAUUAAAUUUGAUGAAGCCCCACUUCCUUGAGAUGUGGAUCUUCUGGCAGCCAAGGAACUUGAACUUGGCUCUAUGCAGAGCCUCAAUCCCAUGUUCCUUAUUCUGUAGCUUGAUGCAGAUGGACAUGAU
rnacentral:lncRNA from 1 species